CCUACGGGAGGCAGCAGUGGGGAAUAUUGGGCAAUGGAGGAAACUCUGACCCAGCGACGCCGCGUGCGGGAUGAAGGCCUUCGGGUUGUAAACCGCUUUCAGCAGGGAAGAAGCGAAAGUGACGGUACCUGCAGAAGAAGCACCGGCUAACUAUGUGCCAGCAGCCGCGGUAAUACAUAGGGUGCAAGCGUUGUCCGGAAUUAUUGGGCGUAAAGAGCUCGUAGGUGGUUCGUCACGUCGGAUGUGAAAAUCUGGGGCUUAACCCCAGACCUGCAUUCGAUACGGGCGAGCUUGAGUAUGGUAGGGGAGUCUGGAAUUCCUGGUGUAGCGGUGGAAUGCGCAGAUAUCAGGAGGAACACCAAUGGCGAAGGCAGGACUCUGGGCCAUUACUGACACUGAGGAGCGAAAGCGUGGGGAGCGAACAGGAUUAGAUACCCUGGUAGUCCACGCCGUAAACGGUGGGCACUAGUUGUGGGGACCUUCCACGGUCUCUGCGACGCAGCUAACGCAUUAAGUCGCCCCGCCGUGGGGAGUACGAUCGCAAGAUUAAAACUCAAAGGAUUGACG
rnacentral:rRNA from 1 species